rnacentral:rRNA from 1 species
GACGAACGCUGGCGGCGUGCUUAACACAUGCAAGUCGAACGGAAAGGCCCUGCUUUUGUGGGAUGCUCGAGUGGCGAACGGGUGAGUAACACGUGAGUAACCUGCCCUUGACUUUGGGAUAACUUCAGGAAACUGGGGCGAAUACCGGAUAGGAGCUCCUGCUGCAUGGUGGGGGUUGGAAAGUUUCGGCGGUUGGGGAUGGACUCGCGGCUUAUCAGCGUGUUGGUGGGGUAGUGGCUUACCAAGGCUUUGACGGGUAGCCGGCCUGAGAGGGUGACCGGCCACAUUGGGACUGAGAUACGGCCCAGACUCCUACGGGAGGCAGCAGUGGGGAAUAUUGCACAAUGGGCGGAAGCCUGAUGCAGCAACGCCGCGUGCGGGAUGACGGCCUUCGGGUUGUAAACCGCUUUCGCCUGUGACGAAGCGUGAGUGACGGUAAUGGGUAAAGAAGCACCGGCUAACUACGUG